GUCAUGAAAAUUAUUUUGAAAAUGAAUGAAUAUUCAGAAAAUAAGCAUGAUUAUUUUCUGGAUAUUCAUUCAUUUUCACAUCCUGCAUGCAGGAAGAAAGUUUUUGAUGAAGAAGCUACGUACUAAACUAAAGCAACGAGUUACCUUGCUUUCUCCCCAAAUGGCGAAAGCUCCAGGGCGUUUUGGCCUCCAUUACCAUAAUUAUUACUGUGGAGUUUGGAAGAGUCCAAUUUAGAAGCGUCGCUUUGUGGCCAAAUGCAACCGCUAAGAAGAACAUAAUGAUUCCACUCUUGCCGUAGGAGUCUGGCAAUCAAGGUAAUUAGGGUUGCUGCGCUUACCGCUUGAGAAUAUCCAGAAAGAGGACACGGCACGAAGCCUUUUUGGACGGUGGGACAGGCAAACGAAGCGAUGUUCAUGCUGAGGCGCAUUGGCAAAAUGGCAAUGUUGGUUCGGUUGCAGUCUCUGCACGCUCUUCGACGGUGUGGAUGACACGCUCAUUAGGAUUCCUUCACGGAAGACGGUGUUGUAGCUAACACCACGGCAUUCUGAUUCAGACUCAUUCCGCCAUGAACCAACCAACGACACUCGCACAGCUUGACUCGUACUUCCCCAGCUCUGGGAGUCUUGUCCGUUGCUCGUAUGUGACACAAUACUUGCACAAGCACAAGCCCGGAACAAAGAUUGCACAUCUUGACGGCAUGCUUCGAUCGUACUGCCUCCGAGGCUUGUACCCCAGUCGACGUUGGUGCUGCAGUGCAGGCUGAAUGAGGCUGGUUGCAGAGACGGAGGAAGUGGAGGAUUUGAUCAAGCACAGUGCAGCUAGCUGCUACAGGACAAGCCAUGUUGUACCACAGUGAUGGCUCGCAAAGCUACAAGCUAUGUAACAGGAUACAUGGACGGUUGGUUGGUUGGUGGUGAUGGUGAUGACAUCACAGUGCUGCUGUGCAUGGCUUGAUUGAGCACUGUACUAAGGCAGGACCAGUGAGUGGAACACUCACUGUACUGCACAUGUGAUUCGCGCAGACCUGUUUACCGGAGUGGUCUGCGUAUGCAGGUACAGUCAGACCGCGCAUAACCGCACACAUCCGUUUUCCACAAAACUAUCCGGAAUUGUCGAGGGAACCGGAUAAUCGAACACACAUACUGUAUGUAUGCAUGCCAUAUGCUGUAAAUUGGUAACCAACGACUUUCUUCUGGAUGGCGAGGGAUCCGGAUAAACGAGGACCGGAUAAGCGACGUCUGACUGUACAUUCUGUGCUAUACUGUGGCCGGUGGCAACCAGACUUACCGAGAUGUGUAAGUAAGUGUAAAUUACAUGGAACUAACUCCGUGCAACCCGUAUGCAGGUCCGGCGGAACCAGUCCGGUUGGUCAGGCCCUGACCGGACCAACGUUCUGGCCACCAACAUGUAAGACGUCAUGUGCACCCGGCCGACAUACCAUGUACCAUGUGUGAAGGGCUGUGAUAUCGGGCUAUGAUAUCGGGCUGUGAUAUCAGGCUGUGAUAUCGGGCUAGGGCCAAUCCAGAACUGCUUCCGCCGGGUACUGGUAUGCCAUGUAGUCAAGUAGAGGGAACGGACUUCCUAUGCUGUGUACAUGUCAAUGAUAUCAUGCUAGCAGGUAGUGAUUGUCAUCAGUCAUGAUUGCCAGUUCUGGCCUUCCCCUCUCCCCCUCCCCAUCUACUGUUUUAUAAAGACGUUGACAAUGUUGGUGUCCAUUAAUAGUGUGUUUUGUCUGCUGCUGCUUUGGCUGGAUUUGCGUCAAUCAUGCAUGUGGUCUCAUCCAUAGUGUUUUUUCUGAAUCAUGCCAUCCUCAUUUCUUUCUUUUUUCUUUUGUCACCAUGCACUACUCAUGGUGCUUGCCUGGUGAGUUUCCCUUCUGA